GCAAGUCGAGGGGCAGCACAUAGGUAGCAAUACUUUGGUGGCGACCGGCGCACGGGUGAGUAACACGUAUGCAACCUACCUGUAAGAGGGGAAUAACCCGGAGAAAUCCGGACUAAUACCGCAUAAUACUGUAUAUCUGCAUGGAUUAACAGUUAAACAUUUAUGGCUUACAGAUGGGCAUGCGUAUGAUUAGUUAGUUGGUAAGGUAACGGCUUACCAAGACAUCGAUCAUUAGGGGUUCUGAGAGGAAGGUC
rnacentral:rRNA from 1 species